UUCGGUCGGCGGUAAUCCCCAGAGGGGAGCUUCACGCGCAUCUCCCGCCCUUUGGCUCCUCAGCCAAGCAUACACCCCGCAAGACUGGACACAGUGAAAAGGCAGCCUUUGGCAACCAUAAAGAAGGCCCUCACCAGGAACCAAUGAUGCUGGCACCCCAAUUUCAGAUUUUCAGCCUCUAGAAUGAAAGAGUUUUUAAAAUGUACUACACUUCAGCGGCUGUAUCCUGCCUGAGCCCAGCACCAAGGAGCAUCUCAACAAGCUCUGGAAGGAACUCACUUUCCUCCUUUUGUUGAAAGA